UGCCGGGUUGUGUAAUGGCAGCACAGCGGACUUUGGAUCCGUUUGUCCAGGUUCGAGUCCUGGCCCGGCAGCCA
rnacentral:tRNA from 3 species